AGAAACAAUGCAAAGAAGAGCAGUGACCUGCAAUCAUACACCCAGAACAAAUCCUCUGCUGCUGAACUCAUGCUGUCUGCGAGGUCUCUGCAGGUGCACUGCGCUGUUGCUGCCACAGUGUACCAUCAUUUCCUGUGUGACAGUCUUUAAGACCACCACAAGGGUAAAUACGCCGUUCCUCAUGACGCCGGACAAGUUAAUGACACAGCUGUUUGCAGAAAGGAGGUUGUAACAUUGAGCCCAGCAGAAGAAAUACUGCCUGUUAUGUGUAGGUAUAAUCAUUUUAGAAGACAUGCUGACACAGAACCUCGUGGAUUUGGCAUCAGUGAUGCCAAGACUCUGUAUUUACUACCAUAGGGAAUACCAGGCUUUGCAAAAAUCUAUUACCAGGCGUAGUACUCAGUGCCAAUGGAUUCCUGCAGCAGGUUGUUUCUCAGUGAGUUUUUAAAAGCUGAUCCUUAAUGCCUGAUAUUAGGCAGCUUCAAAUCAAAAACAAAAUUGCUUUGAAAAAGAUUUACAAAAGUUCACAUUGGUAGAGAUAUUGCUUGACGUUUAAAAGGAAAAAUAAUAACGCCAAGAUUGCGAUUGCAUUUGUUGACGUUUGGAACAUCUUCCUGUGGAGCUUGUAACCAUAACACGGCUGCAUUGUACUCGUGUUUCAGAAACAGAAAGUGGAACUAAAUGCAAUUUAUUAAAAUAGUGUGGCUGAUUAUAAACUCUAAAGGGAAAUCAAGUAACCUCAUUUCUUUAUCUCAUCUGAGCAAAAGGCUAAAACGUGGGGGUGGGGAGAGGCACUUGUUCAGUUUUAGUCCUCUCAAGUGUUACUAAUCACGGAAGUACAAAAUACUUGAAAAUGCCUUUUUAAAAAUCUUCAGAGCCCUACAGAGUGGGCUUCAAUCCGAAGCUGAGGUGGUGUUUCUGGGUGACUGAGGGCUGAAAGGUAAGGGCUAGGCAGCUCCUUCCAGCACAGGCAGGGCACUGGGCUAACUGGCUAACACUGAAAAUAAAAGAGUAUUUUCUUCUUCCUUCCCCCCCA
rnacentral:lncRNA from 1 species